GUGAAUGAUGAAAUACGCACUGGGCUUUGAGCAGUUUGUUUUUUGCAGUUAUUGAUGGAAAUACAGCCUAGAAAGCUAUAUCUGACCC